rnacentral:rRNA from 1 species
AGAGUUUGAUCCUGGCUCAGAUUGAACGCUGGCGGCAGGCCUAACACAUGCAAGUCGAGCGGUAGAGAGAAGCUUGCUUCUCUUGAGAGCGGCGGACGGGUGAGUAAUGCCUAGGAAUCUGCCUGGUAGUGGGGGAUAACGUUCGGAAACGGACGCUAAUACCGCAUACGUCCUACGGGAGAAAGCAGGGGACCUUCGGGCCUUGCGCUAUCAGAUGAGCCUAGGUCGGAUUAGCUAGUUGGUGAGGUAAUGGCUCACCAAGGCGACGAUCCGUAACUGGUCUGAGAGGAUGAUCAGUCACACUGGAACUGAGACACGGUCCAGACUCCUACGGGAGGCAGCAGUGGGGAAUAUUGGACAAUGGGCGAAAGCCUGAUCCAGCCAUGCCGCGUGUGUGAAGAAGGUCUUCGGAUUGUAAAGCACUUUAAGUUGGGAGGAAGGGUUGUAGAUUAAUACUCUGCAAUUUUGACGUUACCGACAGAAUAAGCACCGGCUAACUCUGUGCCAGCAGCCGCGGUAAUACAGAGGGUGCAAGCGUUAAUCGGAAUUACUGGGCGUAAAGCGCGCGUAGGUGGUUUGUUAAGUUGGAUGUGAAAUCCCCGGGCUCAACCUGGGAACUGCAUUCAAAACUGACUGACUAGAGUAUGGUAGAGGGUGGUGGAAUUUCCUGUGUAGCGGUGAAAUGCGUAGAUAUAGGAAGGAACACCAGUGGCGAAGGCGACCACCUGGACUAAUACUGACACUGAGGUGCGAAAGCGUAGGGAGCAAACAGGAUUAGAUACCCUGGUAGUCCACGCCGUAAACGAUGUCAACUAGCCGUUGGAAGCCUUGAGCUUUUAGUGGCGCAGCUAACGCAUUAAGUUGACCGCCUGGGGAGUACGGCCGCAAGGUUAAAACUCAAAUGAAUUGACGGGGGCCCGCACAAGCGGUGGAGCAUGUGGUUUAAUUCGAAGCAACGCGAAGAACCUUACCAGGCCUUGACAUCCAAUGAACUUUCUAGAGAUAGAUUGGUGCCUUCGGGAACAUUGAGACAGGUGCUGCAUGGCUGUCGUCAGCUCGUGUCGUGAGAUGUUGGGUUAAGUCCCGUAACGAGCGCAACCCUUGUCCUUAGUUACCAGCACGUAAUGGUGGGCACUCUAAGGAGACUGCCGGUGACAAACCGGAGGAAGGUGGGGAUGACGUCAAGUCAUCAUGGCCCUUACGGCCUGGGCUACACACGUGCUACAAUGGUCGGUACAGAGGGUUGCCAAGCCGCGAGGUGGAGCUAAUCCCAUAAAACCGAUCGUAGUCCGGAUCGCAGUCUGCAACUCGACUGCGUGAAGUCGGAAUCGCUAGUAAUCGCGAAUCAGAAUGUCGCGGUGAAUACGUUCCCGGGCCUUGUACACACCGCCCGUCACACCAUGGGAGUGGGUUGCACCAGAAGUAGCUAGUCUAACCUUCGGGAGGACGGUUACCACGGUGUGAUUCAUGACUGGGGUGAAGUCGUAACAAGGUAGCCGU